rnacentral:rRNA from 1 species
CUACGGGCGGCUGCAGUGGGGAAUAUUGGGCAAUGGGCGAAAGCCUGACCCAGCAACGCCGCGUGAUUGAAGAAGGUCUUCGGAUUGUAAAAAUCUGUCCUUGGGGACGAAAAAAAUGACGGUACCCAAGGAGGAAGCCCCGGCUAACUACGUGCCAGCAGCCGCGGUAAUACGUAGGGGGCGAGCGUUGUCCGGAAUUACUGGGCGUAAAGGGUGCGCAGGCGGCGUGUUAAGUCAGAUGUGAAAUACCCAGGCUUAACCUGGGGGGUGCAUUUGAAACUGGAGUGCUUGAGUGCAGGAGAGGAAAGUGGAAUUCCUAGUGUAGCGGUGAAAUGCGUAGAUAUUAGGAGGAACACCAGUGGCGAAGGCGACUUUCUGGACUGUAACUGACGCUGAGGCACGAAAGCGUGGGGAGCAAACAGGAUUAGAUACCCCAGUAGUC